UACAGAGGUCUCAAGCGUUGUUCGGAUUUACUGGGCGUAAAGCGCACGUAGGCGGGUCGUUAAGUCAGGGGUGAAAUCCCGGAGCUCAACUCCGGAACUGCCUUUGAUACUGGCGACCUUGAGGCUGGAAGAGGUUAGUGGAAUUCCCAGUGUAGAGGUGAAAUUCGUAGAUAUUGGGAAGAACACCAGUGGCGAAGGCGGCUAACUGGUCCAGAUCUGACGCUGAGGUGCGAAAGCGUGGGGAGCAAACAGG
rnacentral:rRNA from 1 species